rnacentral:rRNA from 1 species
GACGAACGCUGGCGGCGUGCUUAACACAUGCAAGUCGAACGGAAAGGCUCCAGCUUGCUGGAGUACUCGAGUGGCGAACGGGUGAGUAACACGUGGGUAAUCUGCCCUGCACUCUGGGAUAAGCUUGGGAAACUGGGUCUAAUACUGGAUAUGACCUUUCUCCUUAUGGGGUUUGGUGGAAAGUUUUUCGGUGUAGGAUGAGCCCGCGGCCUAUCAGCUUGUUGGUGGGGUGAUGGCCUACCAAGGCGACGACGGGUAGCCGGCCUGAGAGGGUGAUCGGCCACAUUGGGACUGAGAUACGGCCCAGACUCCUACGGGAGGCAGCAGUGGGGAAUAUUGCACAAUGGGCGGAAGCCUGAUGCAGCGACGCCGCGUGAGGGAUGACGGCCUUCGGGUUGUAAACCUCUUUCAGCAGGGACGAAGCGUAAGUGACGGUACCUGCAGAAGAAGCACCGGCUAACUAUGUG